CGCGAAUGGCUCAUUACAUCAGUUAUGGUUCCUUAGAUCGUACCCACAUUACUUGGAUAACUGUGGUAAUUCUAGAGCUAAUACAUGCAAAUAGAGUUCCGACCAGAGAUGGAAGGAAUGCUUUUAUUAGAUCAAAACCAAUCGGUGGCGGGCUUGCCUUGCUCACCGUUUGACUUGGUGACUCUGAAUAACUUUGUGCUGAUCGCACGGUCUCGUACCGGCGACGCAUCUUUCAAAUGUCUGCCUUAUCAACUGUCGAUGGUAGUUUCUGCGACUACCAUGGUUGUUACGGGUAACGGGGAAUCAGGGUUCGAUUCCGGAGAGGGAGCCUGAGAAACGGCUACCACAUCCAAGGAAGGCAGCAGGCGCGCAAAUUACCCACUCCCGGCACGGGGAGGUAGUGACGAAAAAUAACGAUACGGGACUCAUCCGAGGCCCCGUAAUCGGAAUGAGUACACUUUAAAUCCUUUAACGAUUAACAAUUGGAGGGAAAGCCUGGUGCCAGCAGCCGCGGUAAUUCCAGCUCCAAUAGCGUAUAUUAAAGUUGUUGCGGUUAAAAAGCUCGUAGUUGAAUCUGUGUCCCACACUGUCGGUUCACCGCUCGCGGUGUUCAACUGGCAUGUUCGUGGGACGUCCUACCGGUGGGCGCAGCCCGUCAAAAGGCGGCCCAACUCAAAAUCCUACCACGGUGCUCUUCACCGAGUGUCGAGG
rnacentral:rRNA from 1 species